rfam:Oryza brachyantha chromosome 10, whole genome shotgun sequence.
AAUAAUCUCAUUUUUUAUUUUUUCGUGUCCAACGUUUGACCAUUCGUCUUAUUUGAAAAAAAUUAUAUAAAAACUUAAAAAAUUAGUCACGUAUAAAAUACUAUUCAUAUUUUAUCAUCUAGUAACAAUAAAAAUAUUAAUCGUAAAAAAAUUUAAAUAAGACGAAUGGUUAAAUGUUGAACAUGGAAAAACGAAAACUGAGAUUAUC